rnacentral:rRNA from 1 species
UGGGGAAUAUUGCACAAUGGAGGAAACUCUGAUGCAGCAACGCCGCGUGAGUGAUGAAGGCCUUCGGGUUGUAAAGCUCUUUCGGCCGGGAAGAAGGGUGUUGGUGGUAAUAUCGCCAACAUUUGAUGGUACCGGAAGAAUAAGCUCCGGCUAACUUCGUGCCAGCAGCCGCGGUAAUACGAAGGGAGCUAGCGUUGUUCGGAAUCACUGGGCGUAAGGCGCACGUAGGCGGAUUAUUAAGUCAGGGGUGAAAUCCCGGGGCUCAACCUCGGAACUGCCUCUGAUACUGAUAGUCUCGAGUCCGGAAGAGGUGGGUGGAAUUCCUAGUGUAGAGGUGAAAUUCGUAGAUAUUAGGAAGAACACCGGUGGCGAAGGCGGCCCACUGGUCCGGUACUGACGCUGAGGGACGAAAGCGUGGGGAGCAAACAGGAUUAGAUACCCUUGUAGUCCCUGAGCGGGCUGGCAAGGCGCAU